GCGAGGCCGCCGCUCUUCUUCGCCCGCCGCGCACUCGAGCCGCCCCGCUCCGCUCCCCUCCCGGAUUACAAAGCCCGCGCCGCCGCCAUGAGCAUCAGCACUAAGAACUCCUCGUACCGCCGCAUGUUCGGCGGGGGCAGCCGCCCCAGCACCGGCACCCGCUACAUCACCUCCAGCAGCCGCUACUCGCUGGGCAGCUCCCUGCGGCCCAGCACCGCCCGGUACGUGUCCGCCUCGCCCGGCGGCAUGUACGCCACCAAGGCGACGUCGGUGCGGCUGCGGAGCAGCAUGCCGCCCAUGCGGCUCCACGACUCCGUGGACUUCUCCCUGGCCGACGCCAUCAACACGGAGUUCAAGGCGAACCGCACCAACGAGAAGGUGGAGCUGCAGGAGCUCAACGACCGCUUCGCCAACUACAUCGACAAGGUGCGCUUCCUGGAGCAGCAGAACAAGAUCCUGCUGGCCGAGCUGGAGCAGCUCAAGGGCAAGGGCACGUCCCGCCUGGGCGACCUCUACGAGGAGGAGAUGCGGGAGCUGCGCCGGCAGGUGGACCAGCUCACCAACGACAAGGCACGCGUGGAAGUGGAGCGGGACAACCUCGCCGACGACAUCAUGCGGCUGAGGGAGAAGUUGCAAGAGGAGAUGCUGCAGCGGGAAGAGGCCGAGAACACCCUGCAGUCCUUCAGACAGGACGUUGACAAUGCCUCUCUGGCACGUCUUGAUCUUGAGCGCAAAGUUGAGUCCCUGCAAGAGGAGAUUGUCUUCUUGAAGAAGCUUCAUGAUGAGGAAAUCCGAGAACUGCAGGCCCAACUCCAGGAACAGCACAUCCAAAUUGAUAUGGAUGUUUCUAAGCCUGAUCUUACUGCUGCCCUGCGUGAUGUUCGCCAACAGUAUGAAAGCGUUGCUGCUAAGAAUCUUCAGGAAGCUGAAGAGUGGUACAAGUCCAAAUUUGCAGAUCUCUCUGAAGCUGCUAAUAGGAACAAUGAUGCCCUGCGCCAGGCCAAACAAGAAGCUAAUGAAUACCGCAGACAGAUUCAGUCUCUCACCUGUGAAGUUGAUGCCCUUAAGGGAAGCAAUGAAUCCCUGGAGCGCCAAAUGCGUGAAAUGGAGGAGAAUUUUGCUGUUGAAGCUGCUAACUACCAAGACACUAUUGGCCGCCUGCAGGAUGAGAUUCAGAACAUGAAGGAAGAAAUGGCUCGCCAUCUCCGUGAGUACCAGGACCUGCUGAAUGUAAAGAUGGCUCUUGAUAUUGAGAUUGCCACCUACAGAAAACUGCUGGAGGGUGAAGAGAGCAGGAUUAACAUGCCUAUUCCAACCUUUGCUUCCUUGAACCUGAGAGGUAAAAACCAACAUUGAGUCUCAGCCGAUGGUUGACACUCACUCAAAGAGGACACUUCUUAUUAAGACUGUCGAAACUAGAGACGGACAGGUUAUUAAUGAAACUUCCCAGCAUCAUGAUGACUUGGAGUAAAGCUGAAGUGAAGAUGCAUACUUAUUAAUGCAGGAGAAAUUCUUACCAGCAUGAUUUAAAAAGUCCAUGUCUUAAAGGAAGAAACAGCUUUCAAGUGCCUUUCUGCAGUUUUUCCAUGAGCGCAAGAUUAUUAUGCUAGGAAAUAGGUCUUAGAUCUUGCAAACUGACUCUCCCUGAAGGAUUAGAGUUUACAAUGGAGUCUAGUUUACAAAUAGCAAUAUCUUGUGCUGCAAUACUGUUUUUAAGUAUCUGAAUUCAAUAAAACUGCUUUUUCCAGCACAGUAUGAGCAACCUGUCGCUACUUCAAUAAAUCUUUGGAAAAUGGCUCUUGAUGUGUUCUAAUUUGUUAACUUCAUGACUUUCUGGAAAGCCAUAACAAGGUAAUGCUGGAAUUACUAUACGGUUGACAUCUCCAGUACUGGUUGUAUGGAAUGCUGUUUUUUUCAGUUUAACUAGAUAAACUGUCUUACUCAUUUAUUGCUUAGGUUUUGGAACCAACUAAAAUGGACUAUAACUGGCAGAUGCAUAAUGUAUUAUGAUAUUUCUUAUCACUUGAAUAAAAUAUGAUACUUCAAGCUAAUAAAAAUUAAUCUUGCUU